rnacentral:ncRNA from 1 species
AUAUCAUUUUAAGGAAUUCUAACAGAAGUUUCUAUUGGUAGUGUAAGUUGGGCAAAGUGUCUUAUUUUUUUAAAGUAUGUAAAAGUAAAAUUACAUGUUAAUACGUAGUAUUAAUGGCGAGACUCCUGAGGGAGCAGUGCCAGUCGAAGACCGAGGCUGAGACGGCACCCUAGGAAAGCGAAGCCAUUCAAUACGAAGUAUUGUAUAAAUAGAGAACAGCAG